rnacentral:lncRNA from 1 species
ACACAGUGAACAAAACAAGCUGAGUUGAUGUUUUUAACAUGUUUUAGUUCAAAUAAAGUUUUUAUUGUUUUCAAAUGACAUUGUGACAGUGAAAUUAAAUAAAAAAUGAUCUGGUGUAAAUGAAGCAUAAACAUACUGCUACGCAGACAGAGCACAGAUCUAUUGAUACUAGAUAAGCGAACUGUGAUGAGCUGUUCUGGCUUCUGAUUGGACCUUUACAGGUCAGCUGAUAGCAGAUACAGCCUCUAAUUGGUUUACAACAGAAAUGACACUUUGUUACUGAAAUUAAUCCAUAAAUCAUCAGAUUAUUUUCAUUUUGGAGGGAUGGGAUCAAGAAGGUCUCUGAAAACAAACCGAUCUUCUCUGUGGGAUAGAAAAGCUCUGGAGUGUCACAGAAACACAAACUUAUCUCCUGAAAGCUAACGGUCUCACAAAGCCAGUGGAUUUUACAGGAAGUCACUCCACUGUAGCAUCAAAUUUAUGAAGCUGAGAUUGUAAUCAACAACACUGAGUUUAUAAAACAGCAUCAACCGUAUUAAUGACUUCACCCUGAAUAGAUGCUGAUCACACUUUUUCCAGACUCGAGUCAAUCCGAUAAUUUUAGUCUGUCAGAGGAAAACGUCUCCAUCAUAAUAAACUAGAUCAAGUUUUCUUGUUAAAGAAUCUUUACUUUGACAAAUUAUAUUUCACACAUUUUACUUUUACAUUCAGGUCUCAUUUAUGGUUUAAUAAUUGUGUUUGUUCAUCCAAACAGGAGGGAAUUAAUUAUUGAUGAGUUCAAAGAUUAUAUGAGAACAAAAACAUGUAAAGAGAAAAAAAAUAAUGUCUAAUAAUAAAAACUAAGGUCAAUCCACCUCCAGUCAAUACUGAAAAUCAUUUCAGAAAUUUAAAAAGUAAACAGAUAAAUAAAUAUAAGCAAAUAAAAGAAUAAAGCUUCUGAUUUUUCUGAAACCCCAAACCCUGUCCUCCUCCCUUCACCUCCAUCUCUCCUCAGUUCUCUUCCUCUCCCUUCAGUUUAUAUCUGACGGUGCAAAGGAAAGAAUAACCUUUGGGUUUAAUCAGAACUUCUGACUGAUCUGCUGUCACACAUGGUAUCAACUACUGCUGCAGAAGUCUGUGGGAAUAAAUCAACUCCACCGCUUUAUAUUUCCACUAGGUGGCGCUGCAUCAUAGGCAAAAAAAAAGUAAUCCAAUCAGUGGGUGAAUGUAUGAUCAUGUUUCCAUCAACAAAACAAAUCUGUUCAGACUGUUUGAUCCCAGAAUAUGAGGGAAAAGAUCAAAUAUCCAGAGUCCAGGUCCUGAGCUGAUCUCAGAGCAGGUCAAAGUGCAGCUCCCACAAUCCUCUCCGCCCGCUGUGAUUGGUCAGUCAGUCUCUCAGUAACACGGCCCAGUCAGAGACUCACCUCACCCUCACUGCUGCUGCCUCCACCUCUCUGAUCGUCAGAAGACAGAUGAUCCUCUUCUUAAUCACUCUGACAGAUGUUAACUCCACCUGAGGAGAGAAAAACAGACGAUCAGUGUUUCCACUCUGAGACUCACUUCAUCAGCUGGACUGAAGAACAUCCAGUUUACAGACCAGCAGGUUCCAGUCCUGCUCAGACCAGAAGUGAUGGUGUACAGCAGCAGGUUUCCUCACAAAUAAACCAACAUCAUCAAAAUAAAGAAAUCCUUCCUGUCAAAUGUGUUAAAGCUGAAGUAACAAACCUGCUGUGAAAAGAACAAGUAUAAAGAACAGCUGUCUGUUUUCAAACUUAGAGCUCAAAAUCAACAAGUUAGCAGAGAAAUAAAGUCUGUGUUGAAUACAGAGAACUAUAAACUGGACUUCAGAGCAGAAACUGAACAUUUCUGUUUCAUUAUGUCUCAUUUCUACAUUUGAUCUGAAAUAUAGAGACGAGGAGACACUUUUUUCAUGACUGACACUCUUACACUCCUGGUUUGAUGAUUUCUGUUCUCACAGCUUCACUAAAGAAAGAAUCCUCUGAGAGGGUCGAAGAGUCAGCAGGAAAUACUGAAUAUCUGCUGUGAUACUGUGUGGAGAGGAACAGGAGAGAUCAGCACAGACUAACUCCAACUCUAUACUGACCCCAGAUCCUCCAGUCUGUAGUCUAGACUCUUCUGAAGAUCACGCAGCGGCUUCAGAUCUGAAUCCUGCAGAUUGUUUCCCAUCAGCCACAGAGUUUUCAGAUGGGAGGGGUUGGACUUCAGAGCUGAGGCCAGAGAAGAACAGCUGAUCUCUGUCAAACUGCAGCUCAUUAACCUAAAUAAAGAGGAAAUAAUGAGAUUUUAGAGAAAAAUGAUCCAGUUUGAAACCUGAUGUCUUAAAUCUGUAGAGUUCAGGGGAAAGGUUUGGAAAGUAUGAAUCAGAGAAAAGUGACGCUCCAAAGAGCUGAACCAAACAGGAAGUCAGUUUGAAACAGUGAAUUCAAAAACACAUGAAAUAGUGAAAAACAAACUCAGAGACUUUUUUACUGAUUGUAGAUGCAGAUCAAUAUUUUCAGAAAAUGUCAACGACUUCAGGACGGAUGGGAAAUAAAGGAUGUUCAGAAUAUUUUCACUUUGCUGAACCAAAAAUAUCACGUCUUUGAGAGGUAAAUAUUUCAGUCUUAACACAGCAAGGCUGCAGAAAAGUGCAGAUAAACCAGAAAAUUCAGAUUUUCACACAAAGAUUCAAAAACAAUCAAAAUUCAAAGUAACAGAGCUGGACUUUCAUCAGAGUCAGAAACUAAACUCUGAGUUUUUUCUAUUCCCUGAUCUUGUCCUGAACAAAAGUUUGAAUGGUUCUCGUCUGACAAAUCUCCCCCUGCUUCUGUUUUCUGUCUGAAUGUGCUUCUCACUGUGAACUCUACAAAGAGUUUUCUUCUUGGGUUCAGGUUUUAAUUCACUGGAGCUCAGCAGUGAUCGAACUGGAGUCAAUCAAAUAAUCCACUGAAGCAGAAAAUCUACUCUGGACUGAAGGUGUUCAGUCUGGGUCAGUAUUUCAGUCCUGAGUCAGCAGUUUAGUGUCAUCAUCACAAACAAAUCAUGAUCAUGUUUGAAUGGAGGAAAAAAGUCUGACCCCAGACUCUCCAGUUUACAGUUUGGACUCUGCAGAGAGUCACACAGCAGCUUCACUCCUGAAUCCUGCAGCUUGUUGUUACUCAGGUCCAGAUGUCUCAGAUGGGAGGGGUUGGACUUCAGAGCUGAGGCCAGAGAAGAACAGCUGAUCUCUGACAACCCGCACUCAUACAAUCUGAAAAAAGGAAAGAGAAUGUAGAUAAAAAUAAUUAAUAAUCAAACUUCAGGUGUUCAGGUUUAAAAUAUUGAGCUCAGAGAACUCCAACAGGAGACCUUUGGACCAGAUCCAGUCUGUCAGAGCUCAUGAUCUGGUCUGCUCUGACCCUCCAUGUAAAAUAACAGACAAGACAUCAAAUGUGAUGGAGCACUGGUUUGGAUUAGAGGUUCAGAUGUUCAGAAGGUGGAGUCCUUGUUGCAGCAGUUGCUGGUUGGACUCCCAUGAUCCUUUGCUGUAAGUCCUCCCUCACUCUCUACUCCACGUUUCCUGUUCCUCUUCAGCGCUCGGAUCAAUAAAAGUCUUCAAAAUGAACUUGAACUGUGACAUGGAGGAAACAGGAGGAUCUUUGUCACCUUUGUCACAUCACCUUUACUGCUUUACUCUUCUCCCUCACCUUCAUCAGGAUCAACAAGGUCAGACAGUGGACAGAUCCACUCUUCCUCUCACUCACAAAAACCAUCAAAUCUAAAGAGAUGAGGGAAAACUCUCAGACUGCUGAUUUGGUUGAUUAAAGAGACGCACAGACGUCAUGAAGUCUGAUCUAAUGGCUGCCACUGCUGUCUUUUUCUCAGGAGGUUUGGUUGAAUUCACUCCAGCAUGUCCUCUAGACAUGAAAACAUCAUCAACAUGAGUCAACUCUGCAUGAGCGGUGGACACCUGAAUUUUCCAACCACUUCAAAGUUUGUAUCCUGGACUGUUUGGAUGAAAUCUCUGCUAUCAGCUGAUUGUUGUUGUUGUUGUUGCUAAAGCAGCAUGUUGUGAGGAUGUGCUCACAGGGUCUGGUCUGUGCUGAGGAGUUAUACAGAGGGUUGAAAUGACGGAGCUCUGACAGCAAGGUCUCUGACUGAAGCUGCUGACUGAUGGGACUUUAACACACCUUUGUUGUUGACAAAGUUUCCUGUAUGAAAAAGAUGAGCUGUGUUCCUGAGCUGCAUGGAUAGUGAGUUCACUGCAUCAUUGAACAUUUAAAUGUUUUAGAGACCGAGGAAGUAAACCCGUCAACAUCACUGCAGUGAUCAUCUCAACCAUUUAUAAAAAAUCAUCAACAUUCAAUCAACAUAAUAACUCACAGUGCUCAUUUUCCUCCAUCUGUAUCUGACUGCUGAUUCAAUAAAAACUAUGAAUUUAUGUGAGUGAGAAGAAAGUUCUGGAAAUAUUCAGCAAGUCUGUGAACAUUUGAAUUGAGUUAAAAAAAAUGAUUAAACAUCAAAAUCUACACCAGAAACAAACAAAGACUAAACUUACCCCAGAGUCUAAGAAAUUAAUGUGAGAAAUCUCAAAGGUUUUUUUGUAGUCCUGAAUUCUUCAUGAAGAUGAAAACAGUCAGGAGUUUAUUCAGGGCUCUGUCCGUCUGCUGUCAACAACUGUCAAACUACUCUCAAAUAAACCAACAGAUCAUUGAUCAGAGAGGUUUUUAUGGACCAACUGGACAAGAUGAUGUUCAUGUUCAACAAACUGAAGUGAAAACUGCAGAAAAAUCUGGAUCUGGUUUUUACAUUUGAACACGACUGAGCAAAGAAGAAAUUCAAGUUUUCAAGAGUUUCCAAAUGAAAUAUCCAGAGUUGGAUUAACUUUGUUCUUCAGGUUUCAAUCUGCAGCUCAUCAUUUCUCUGACACUUCAUUCAUUCAUUAGUGAUCACAUUAACUGUGGAUCAGUUCAGUAUCAGCCUUUAGUCUGUGCUGCUCCUGCCCUCUACAAGCAUGUGUAAUAUUUGUGGGACUGAUUUUCUCCUGCUUCCUUUCUACAUCCAUCGUUCUACUCAAAGUCAACUCUGAAAUGUCAGAUUUUUCUUCCUGUGUUGAAGUUUAACAACGACAAAUUCAAACUGCUCGACCAAAGUUGAUGGAAAAACCACAGAGAAAAAUCUAAGGCAGCAGCUGUCACAUCUUAUUGUUAGAUCAGAAGGAAAUGGUGUCUCACAUCAGAAUCUUCAGUCUGCAGUUUAGACUCUCCAGUCCUGCAGAGAGAAGCUUCACUGCUGAAUCCUGCAGAUCAUUUCCGCUCAGGUUCAGAUGUCUCAGAUGGGAGGGGUUGGACUUCAGAGCUGAGGCCACAACUUCACAGUGAGUCUCUGAGAGUCCACAUUUAAUAAAUCUGUAACAACAUGAAUAUCAAACAAUAUUUCAUUGAAGGGUAAUUUGAUGUUUCUCUUCACCAAAAACAAACAUGAUCUUUGGUUUGACAGACGGCCUGUUUUCAACCAGACAGAUACUAAUAUCAGGACCAAUGAGAGAAGACAGGAAGUCAAAGUUUAGAAGAAAAAUAAAACUGUUCAGAUGUUCAAGACAAAUGACUCCAUGACUUAUUUUAGUCAUUCUGUUCUCUAACAGUGUUGUCUUCAUGUUAGUGCAGCUGGAUUAGGCCUGGACGAUAUAGAAAAAAAUCAUAUCGAUAAAAAAUAAAUCAUAUUGAUCGAUAUCGAUAAUUAUCGAUAUAAUUAUAAUUAUUUAACAUAUAUUUUAAUUGCAGCCCUGGAUGUUUUAUGCUAUUGCUUAAUGACCUACUUUUAAUAAAGAACACACAAGCACUGAAUUUAAAUUCAAACCUUUAUUCAACCACCUUUUUUAUUUUACCACAACUGAAAGUUUUUUUAAAAAGAACUAAAAAAAAAAGAAAUCAACUUAAGUGGCCUGAGUGACGUCAGUAAAUACUGACAAACAUAAAGACUUAAGUGACCAGAAAAUCUGAUAAAUAAAUAUUUAAAUAGUCUUUUGAUGAAAAUAAACAAAACAAACAAAUAUAUAAAUAAACAGAAUAGCUUUAGGUGGGAAUAGCAUACUACCAGGUUUAACUGUGUGGGAAACUGCCCACAACCUGGUGUCUGAACACUGAAAUAUUUCUCCCGGGGUCGGGAGAUUUAUUUUUUUUAAUUAUCAUGUGAUUGACUUAAUACACAAACUAAGCACGAGAAGCAGGACUUAUCCACGCUGGUGUUGUGUCGUAGAAUGCACCCCUGCCGAAUGCACCCCCUGCUAGUAGCCAUGAUCCAAAUACUCGCGUCUUUGUAAAAUAUGAGCUCAUUUUCUUCCACUUUAAGAAGCGAAUGAGUGGACGGGAUGCAGGGGUGCAUCCUACGGCAAACACCGGAACGUAUUUCCUCCGCACCCUUCUCACCUUUUCAACCCCUGACCCGUUUUCAUGCCUGAAGCGCUGUGUUUGAGAAAUACUUGCGGCCGGACACUUCAUAUCGCGGGUCGAGAGUGGCUAGAAGCUGGUCGAAAACCCGGCUUUUCAACGGUAGUUAUUAGCAGUAUGUCCCUCGCUAUGGAGCAUGUUACUGCAUGGGUGAUGUCCUUAUGUCGCUCGGACGCUUUGUCGUAUUUUGGCAAGAAACGAUGUCCAGUUUGGUCUGCUUCACAUGCUUUGUGCUGGUGCUGGCAGCGGUUCCAGAGGAUUCCGCCGACGAUGACGUGGAGCCGCGGCGCGGCCGACACAGCUCGUACUCCUGCGGGUGCGACCGGUUUAGAUGGUAAAACAAGUUGGUUGUGUUACCAGACUUGGUUUUUACUAAUUCUCUGCAAAUUUUGCAAACGACCGCUGUUCGCUUUUUGUCAGACUUCUAAAAACCAAAACACUGCCAUGCUGGUGAACUACUGAGACCUUUUUUCGGGACAAUUUCCUCCGCUUCUCCUUGCUGUAUCAUUUUUUCUAAUACACGUGCUGUCUGUUGUGGUUUGAUAGGGGCUGGGCUUGGUGCCGUAGCGUACCUGGGUCUGCGUUUGUGAUUGGUUGGGAGGAAGCAAUGACUGUAGUAAAAGCUACAUGAUAGGCUAUGAUGAAAAAGAAAGGGAAACUGUGUUUUUCUAUCGAACUUUUUAUCGACCCGUUUUUUUUCUAUCGCACCACACGUCUAUCGAUCGAUAUAUAUUGUUAUCGAAUUAUCGUCCAGCACUAAGCUGGAUCAUUAUGAUUGUGUGAAUUCUUGAGUUCUGGUUGGAGAAGGGGACUGAGAACCAGGUUUUUGGUCCUGGUAUGUGAUUGGUUAGUAUCCAAAGUACCUCUUGGAGAAUCAGUGCUCCUCUCAGUGUUUAAUGUUGACAUCCUGCUGUAAUGUAAGUCUGUCCAUAGACACUGACUGUUGACCAAUCAGAGGACGACUCACUAAAUCACAGCAGCAGCUCCUUUUUCUAUGAUUGGUUCAGAUCAAAUCGUUUUUCAGCAGGUUAGAGCUGGUUUGACUCUGAACAUUUGAAGAGUUGAAGAUUUCUUUGUUUUCACAGUCAAAGUUUUUUCUCCAUGUAACAUUCCCUUCACCAGCAGAAACAAGUUUAUGAAGCCUGAUGAAUCCAGAGAGACCUUUAAGAGACAGAUACAAAGACCCACUGAACCUCUGUAUUUGUUUCUCUCUCUCUCUCUCUCUCUCUCUCUCUCUCUCUCUCUCUCUCUCUCUCUCUCUCUCUCUCUCUCUCUCUCAUAUGAACUCUAGGGGGCGUACGUUCUCAUGACUCCUAUAAAAAUAACAGAUUGAAUUUUGCUCGUUUGUGUGUUUCAUUCAGAAAGAAACAUUUGGAGUCAGGAGAAAAAAAAGGAAAAACAGAUUCAUCUUUGAAGUGGUGGAAAAUGAUGUUAGUUUUCAUGGUUGUAUUGAUGAUGAAUAUUGAAUGAUGAACAUGAUGGUACAGAGACAGUUCUGCCACUGUGUAGAAAAUGAUCCACUUCUAUUUUCACCAUCAAUGCUGUCAACACCCUCAUUUACAACAGAUUCAUCAUUUCCAACCUGAAAACCAGCAGGAAGAAGCUGCAGACACCUUCUUCAAACUCAAGUUCACCACAACUGACUGAGAUGUUGAUCUGGACUGAUACCAUCAUCAGAAGACCUCUGUGUGUCCUCAGAUAUGGUCACUGAUUUGUCCUGAAAGUUCCACUUUAUUCAUUACAGACACGAUUCAAAACAAAGAGGUCCUCCACAAUCAGGACAAGUUCUCAGGGGUCCACAGGUAGACCUCAUCCUGGGCUAACAGGACUUCUGACACCAGGAUCAUGUUUUUGCUGAACCUAAAGAAACCCCCUCCCUGAUAUUUCAGCUGAUUUCUAUUUGAAGAAGAACAUCAUCAGUAACGUGGACAUUGGAAGAACUACAGGGAUCAUUUACACUAUUCUGAGAAUAAAACCUGGACUUACUCAGCCUUUCUGCAGUUCCUCACAGCUGGCAUCAGUCUCAGUCGUCCCUGGUCUGAUGUUUUAUACUUCUUAAAGUCCAACUCAUCCAGAACCUCCUCUGACAUCUGCAGCAUGUAGGCCAGAGCAGAGCAGUGGAUCAUUGAGAGUCUCCUCUCUGAUCUGUUCUCUGACUUCAGGAACUCUUGGAUCUCCUGAUGAACUGACAGAUCGUUCAUCUCCAUCAGACAGUGGAAGAUGUUGAUGCUUCUGUCAGGAGAGAUAUCUUUACUGUUCAUCUUCUUCAGGUUGUUGAUGACUCUUUGGAUCAUUAUUGGACUGUUGUCUGUGUGACCCAGCAGACCUCCUAAGAGUCUCUGGUUUGACUCCAGAGAGAGUCCAUGAAGGAAGCGAACAAUCAGGUCAAGGUGACCGUUUUUACUGAGAAGGGAUUUCUUCAUGGCACUGUUAAGGAAGAGAUUUAGGUUUUUAAAAUAUCCGGAAACCGUCUUUAAGUGAGACAUUUUGUCUUCGUCAUUGUUGCCUCUUAGGAAAGUCUUCAGAACUUCUGCGUUCCUGUUUGUGAAACUGUGGAUCAUGUAGACUGCAGCCAGAAACUCCUGAACGCUCAGAUGAACGAAACAGUAAACAGUUUUCUGGAAGAUCACACUCUCUCUUCUGAAGAUCUCUGUACAAACUCCUGAGUACACCGAGGCCUCUGAGACAUCCAGACCACACCGCUCCAGGUCUUCUUGGUAGAACAUGAUGUCUCCUUUCUCCAGAUGUUCAAAGGCCAGCCUCCCCAGCUUCAGGAGGACUUCACUGUCAGCCUCCGUCAGCUCCUGAGGACUUGUCUCAUGUCCUCCUUCAUACUUCUGCUUCUUCCUCUUAGUCUGGACCAGCAGGAAGUGUGAGUACAUGUCCGUCAGGGUCUUGGGCAGCUCUCCUCUCUGCUCUCUGCUCAUCAUGUCCUCCAGAACUGUCGCAGUGAUCCAGCAGAAGACCGGGAUCUGACACAUGAUGUGGAGGCUCCUGGAGGACUUGAUGUGUGAGAUGAUUCUUGUGGACAGAUCUUCAUCUCUGAACCUCUUCCUGAAGUACUCGUCCUUCUGGGCGUCAGUGAAGCCUCGUACUUCUGUUACCCUGUCCACACGUGAAGGAGAGAUCUGAUUGGCUGCUGCAGGUCGAGAAGUUAUCCAGAUGAGAGCUGAGGGGAGCAGGUUCCCCUUGAUGAGGUUUGUUAUCAGAACGUUCAGUGAAGACUUCUGUGUGACGUCAGACAGGACCUCAGAGUCUGUGAAAUCCAGAGACAGUCUGCUUUCAUCCAGACCGUCAAAGAUGAACAGAAGUUUACAGACAGCCAGCGUCUCUGCUGUGACCUUCUCUAGUGUUGGAUGGAAAACAUGGAGCAGACUCAGAAGACUGAAGCGCUCAUCUCUGAUCAGGUUCAGCUCCCUGAAUGAAAGCAGGACCACCAGAUGGAGGUCUUGGUUCUCCAAACCCUCUGCCCAGUCCAGAGUGAACUUCUGCACUGAGAAGGUUUUUCCAACACCAGCCACGCCGUUGGUCAGAACCACUCUGAUGACCUUCUUCUGUUGGUCAGGUAAGGUUUUAAAGAUCUCAUGACACUUGAUGGGCGUGUCAUGGAGGGUCUCCAUCUUUGAAGCUGUCUCCAGCUGUCUCACCUCAUGUUGUGUGUUCACCUCUUCACUCAGUCCCUGUGUGAUGUAGAGCUCAGUGAAGAUCCUGUUGAGGAGGGUUUGACUACUUCCUGUUUCAUCACUUCCUUCAUUCACACGUUCACAUCUCCUCUUCAGACUGAUCUUAUGUUCAUCUAAAACCUCCUGCAGACCGCCAUCUGCUGAAAGAGAAGAAAAAUCAAAUGAACCAAACUUCUCAACACGAAAACGUCUUUGUGAAAAUCAGUCAGCUGAGUUUUCAUCCACAGAGACUUUAGAGGACAGAUGUUCAGACUUACUUCCAUCAGAGCUGGACUGACUGUCUGUCUGAGAGACAAGAACUGUUCUGGUUCUUUUUCCACACUGGGGACAGGAGGUGUGUCCUAAAGAAGUAUACUGGUCCCUGCAUGAGGCCAGGCACUGUCUGCAGGACAGGUGUCCACAGCGGUAAGAGACUGGAUCCUUCAGGACGUCCUGACAUGAAAAACAUCUGGACAGCUGCUCCUCCACAGAGUCACAUCUCUGUGUCUCUCUGUGGAAAUAAAGAACAUUUAUUUUCUUUAUCAUUUCAUGUUUGAAAGAUACAGAAUAAGAAUCAUUUAUUAAACCAGAGUUUCUGACCUCACUCUUUUCUCUAACAUAAAACAAUCUCCUGUAAAAUAUUCAGCUGCUGCUGCCUGAAAGUGUGGAGACAGGAGAAAAACUAAACUGCGAUUUUUGAGGGUGGAGAGAUUUUCUCCACCAAUUCUACAGUUUUUUUAUCAAAAGAUCAAACAGGAAUGAUUUCUUCAUCGGUCUUCUGGUAUUUUGUGACCAACAGACUGUUUUCUGGGGUCUAUACACCACAGUCCAAAGACUUACAGACUCAAAACGUCUCAGACGCCGGAACCAAAUCAGAAAAUACAGAGGUCAGAAUCCUUUUCAGAUGCUGUUUUAUACGACCUUCAUUUUUAUCAACAUGAUGAAUAAUAAGUAAAUCUGUGCUCAGUGACUUUUUCUUCACCAGCCCUUUAUCCAGGUUGGCAGGUUACAGAGGAAAAUCACUGUUUUGAGAGCAGAGAUCAUUUUUCUCACCAUGGUAGAAAACAGAGGGGUCAGAAUUUAAAGUUUUGUUUUUGAAACAUCAAUUGUUGUUGUUUGAGAGUUUGGUGGUUGAAAAGUGUUUCUCUUACUGUGAAUCUGAGGGUCCUGGUUCUUUCCUGAACUCCAGGAUAAUCUCUUUAGACCAGUCACUCUUCAUAGACAGACAGUCGGACAUAACAGACAUUGCUCUGUACUCCUCUGAGGGUCCUGGUUCUUUACUGAAGUUUAGAGGAAUUCCUUUAGAUACGUCACUCUUCAUAGACAGACAGCUGGACGGAAUAGACUUUGCUCUGCACUCCUCUGAGGGUCCUGGUUCUUUCCUGAACUCCAGGAUAAAAUCUUUAGAACAGUCACUCUUCAUAGACAGACAGUCUGACAUGACAGACUCUGCUCUGUCCUCCUCUUCCUCGACACAAACACUCAUCUUCUCCAUCUGAUGUUGAGCAACUUUUUGGAAGAUGAAACCGAGUUAUACAACCUGAGGACAAAGUAGACAAACAGGUGAGAUACAAACAGGAGGACAGUGUUCAGAAAUAGAAGUAGACUCGUGGACAGGAGGCCUUAAAGAGACAGCAGCUAAAAUGAAGUGUUUUAGGAGGAGGCUGAAAUAAAGAUAUUUUAAUACACCAGAGUGAGAAACAGGAGACUAAACUGAAAAUCAUGUAAAGAUAUUAAAGAGGAAUCAGAAAGAAAGUAUACAGUCUGAAAUAAGCUUAAUACCCCUCUUUAAGAGUUAUACAGGGUUUAAUCUGUACGCUACAGGGCCUCUCUCUGAUUCAUGGUCAAAACAACAACAGCUGUGAGGUCCCUGAAGUCUCAUAAAAAUUAAAGGGACUGGAUUAAAUUUGAAAUGAGAGGCUAAAUGAAAAGAAACUCAUUUUUGUUUUUACUAAAAAGACAAGUCUAAACAAGAAGGAGGAAGAACUGCACGUACGCAGUUUCCUGUAUCAAGAACUGAUCCAGCUCUUUGUCUGGUCAGGUUUCUGUGUUUUACAGUUUUUAAGUGUAUUAGUCAGUAAAUCAUUUUUCAUUAACAGAUGAUACAGAUAAAGACUUUGACGUUAGAAAACCCAGAGUAAACACUCACCCUGUCUCCUCGUCCUCUCCUCUCUCUGCUCUGUUCUUUUCUCAAUGGAGUCUGUUCUUGAGUUUACUUUCACUUUCACAGUGACUCUUUCCACUGAAACCUAAACCACCAGAUCACAGAUUCUUCUUCUCAUGACAUUUACUGACAGUUUUUGAUCAUCUUUUAAGUUCAGUAUUCUUGACAAUCAUCUUCCUCUCCUGUGUCAAAAUUAAACAAGUUCACUCAAACAGGAACUUGUUUGGUUGAGUCUCAGUUUAUUGUUUACACAGCAGCUCCACCUGCUGGUCAAACCAACAAACUACAGAUGAGUGCUUCUCUACCUCCAGCUCUGUCUUAAGGUUGUCAAUGUCGCUCUCUCUUCAUGAUGCUCAUUUAACAUUACCACACAUUUAAUUAAUUAUAAUCCUAGAAAAAACUAAAAUAAGUUAAAAAGCGCAGAACAGCAGCUAAUUUUGAUAAGACCAUGCAAACUUAAAGCGAGAGGUCUUUUACCAUCUCCUACGAAUUUUUCAGAUGAAACAAGAAAAGAAAUCACCAAUACUUUGCAAGAUGCAGGAGCUUUCCUGACAAGUUACAAGAUUUUAAUAACAAUUUCUUGUUUGACUUGUUUCUUUGGCUAACUUGGCUGUCAAAGAAAACGAAUGAACUAUCAUUAACCAGCAACAAACUACCAUAAAAUUUUCAUUAAAAAAACUGUGAAUAACUUAUUACGAUGUCCCGUACAACCGAACACUCAGAGUUGAGAAGAAGGAAAGCAAGACAGCCAUUGUGGAACAGAUAACGACGUGUCGCAACCACUUGUUUAAGAGUCCUUACAUGAAUAUAUGCACAUAACACGACAAAUCCCCACCAUCCAGCUUAACAUGGAAAAUGAUUAAAUGAACACAAACGUUUGCGUAAAGAAAAUAAGGAACAACUUAUGUUUUUGAUUCAGCAGUUAAUAAAUCAUCAGAUUAUUUUCAUUUUGGAGGGAUGGGAUCAGGAAGGUCUCUGAAAACAAACCGAUCUUCUCUGUGGGAUAGAAAAGCUUUGGAGUUUUUUUGUUCAAGAAUCUUUGCUUUGACAAAUUAUAUUUCACACAUUUUACUUUUACAUUCAGGUCUCAUUUAUGGUUUAAUGAUUGUGUUUGUACAUCCAAACAGGAGGGAAUCGAUUAUUGAUGAGCUCAAAGAUUAUAUGAGAACAAAAACAUGUACAGGGAUGUAGUGGAGAAUCCAGCAUAAACUCAGUAAAACAAUGCACAGGAGACAGGAUGAGAUCUGAAGCACAGCCUGGGUGUCUUUUAUUGUACAGAUGUAGAAAUCAGUAAAGAUGACAGAGUUUUGACCAAAACCAAAGAAAGCUCCCUAAGCCUUUCGUCUACUCCCUUUGAAACUGCUUGUACCUCUGAUAUGUGUGUGUGUGUGUGUGUAUGAGUCUUUCAUCAUCAUGGGUACAUCAUAUCUAUCCUCCAGGAGGCUACCCAUGACGACGUGUUGUACUGUUCUGAAACUCAACACUUUGUUUAGAUUAGUCUUAACUCUCCCAGAUUUUAGCUCUAAAUGUUCUGACAGACAGAAAGUUUUGGUCCCUGAAAAACAGCCUUAAUCAGAACUUCUGACUGAUCUACUGUCACACAUGGUAUCAACUCCUGCUGCAGAAGUCUGUGGGAAUACAUCAACUCCACCGCUUUAUAUUUCCACUAGGUGGCGCUGCAUCAUGGGGGUGGGUGAAUUUAUGAUCAUGUUUCCAUAAACAAAACAAACCUGUUCAGACUGUUUGAUCCCAGAAUAUGAGGGAAAAUAUCAAAUAUCCAGAGUCCAGGUCCUGAGCUGAUCUCAGAGCAGGUCAAAGUGCAGCUCCCAGAGUCCUCUCCGUCCGCUGUGAUUGGUCAGUCAGUCUCUCAGUAACAUGGCCAAGUCAGAGACUCAUCCUCACUACUGCUGCCUUCACCUCUCUGAU